CACGUAGGGCGCAAGCGUUGUCCGGAAUCAUUGGGCGUAAAGCGCGUGUAGGCGGUCCGGUAAGUCCGCUGUGAAAGUCGGGGGCUCAACCCUCGGAUGCCGGUGGAUACUGUCAGGCUCGAGUCCGGAAGAGGCAAGUGGAAUUCCCGGUGUAGCGGUGAAAUGCGCAGAUAUCGGGAGGAACACCAAUGGCGAAGGCAGCUUGCUGGGACGGUACUGACGCUGAGACGCGAAAGCGUGGGGAGCAAACAGG
rnacentral:rRNA from 1 species